rnacentral:lncRNA from 1 species
GAAGUCGGCCUGUGGCCCGCUAUGUUCGUGAGGGCGCGUCUCUUGGCACCCCUGUAGUCGCUAUGUUUCCCAUGCCCGUGGCAGGCCUGAGAGGUUAUGUUUGCGGGGGGUGCUUUUUUUGUAGCUUCUGUGUUCGCCAUAUUUGAAAGGGGUAGACGGCCAUGUUCGUCAUGGCCAUGAACGGCUCUUCCCUUGGUGCACCUGUGGCCGCCAUGUUUGAGCGGGGACCCUGUGGCAGGCCGGGACCGUUUCUCCGGCGCUAUCCCAGAGCAUGGCGCAUCCACUGAUUCACUCAACGGAAAGGCCUGAAAGUAAAAUUGUAUCAACAUUAGGUUUGCCUAGCAAGCCUAAUGUUAAUGAAGCCAGGAGGUUCUCGUUUUGGGCCUUGACUGGACAGGUUUGGGCUAGAAACCACUUGAAGUAUUGAUCAUCCAUCUGAUCAUCAAGUUUUUUUUUUUUGAGAGAUGGAGUCUCACUCUAUUGCCCACGCUGGAGUGCAGUGGCACGAUCUCAGCUCCCUGCAACCUCCACCUCCCGGGUUCUCCUGCCUCAGCCUUCUAAGUAGCUGGGAUUAUAAGCAUGUGCCACCAUGCCUGGCUAAUUUUUCAUAUUUUUGGUUGAGAUGGGGUUUCACCAUGUGGCCAGGCUGGUCUCAAACUCCUGACCUCAAGUGAUCCGCCUGCCUUGGCCUCCCAAAGUGCUGGGAUUACAGGCAUGAGCCACCACUCCCAGCUUGUUCAUCAAGUUUUUAUUGAAUAUCUAUUAUGUGCCGAUAUUGAGGUAGACUCUGGGAGUCACAGCAGUGAAAGCGGCUGCCCGAAUGCCUUGUGAGGGCCGGGGUCUCACUGGGGAGAUGGACAUGAACAGCAAACGCACAGCAAGGAAAGCCAGGGGUCUGUGCAGGGAUGCCGCAGGACGCGAGAACCAGCCAAGACCUAUGGCCCCUGCAGCCACCGAGGGCUCGAGAGCGCCCCCGUGGACUUGGCUGGGCCCUUCUUGGUGACAUCCAGGAAUGCGGCUGAGCGUGGGUGUUGACCUCGCUGUUUGCUGGAAUGUUUGGGUUCUUGGACCACGUCAGUGACGGCUGUGUCACCAUGGCCUCGCUGUCCCCAGGAAAACCUAACGUGCACCUCGCGCUUGUCCUCUGGGACUCCCGUCCUCCUCCUUUGUCUGACCCCCGAGAGGCUUACCGUUUCCCCAGGGCAGCCCUGGCUGUGGCCCUUGGCCCUGCUCCAGGCGGCCACGUCAGUGUCCUCCCUCAGCGCUCCCAACAGGUGGGAGGCCUCUGCGAUGGCCACCCUUGACUCCUAAACACCCCAGAAAGGGAAGAGGUUUAAGAGGAACCUUGACUCCCGCCAUUCUGCACAGUCGUGGGUCCCUCCUCCACCCAGGGCCCUCAACGGGAUUUCUGUCCACACCCCCAGCCAGCGACCCCUCCCAGUUCCUGCAGCUGGAGCGACCCUCUCUCCUGAACAUUCGGGCACCUGCGUCUCUCACCGCAGCCAGAGGGCUGGAGCAUCUUCGGUCAACUCGCCAUCCCUGCCACAGCUGGAGGCUACGUGUCCCAGAACCUACCUUGCUGGGAUGGGGGUUGGGGUGGCAGAUGCUGAACGCAUGUGAGGUCUGGGGGAGGACAAGUGGAGCUGGGAUGUGUGGGAGGUCCUGGUGGCCACCGUGAGGAUGGUCAUACCCCAUAGCUUUGUUGGUGCUGUGGCUGUAGCAGGCCCAGUGGCUCCGCCGAGCCUCCCUAGCACCAGUGCCCAGUGAAGUGUGGGCAGCUGGACAUAGGUGGCCUCAGUUCCUGGGACUCCCCCAAAGCUCUGGUUUCCCCCCUGCUUCCAGGCUUCAGGUGGAUGAGUUAGUGACCCCAACUCCAGACCUCCCUCCCCCAGCCACCCCCACAGUUGUAAAAACCCUCAUUCUCAUAUGGAA